rnacentral:rRNA from 1 species
CCUACGGGAGGCAGCAGUGAGGAAUAUUGGUCAAUGGACGAGAGUCUGAACCAGCCAAGUAGCGUGAAGGAUGACUGCCCUAUGGGUUGUAAACUUCUUUUAUAUGGGAAUAAAACAGGGUAUGCAUACCCUCUUGUAUGUACCAUAUGAAUAAGGAUCGGCUAACUCCGUGCCAGCAGCCGCGGUAAUACGGAGGAUCCGAGCGUUAUCCGGAUUUAUUGGGUUUAAAGGGAGCGUAGGUGGAUUGUCAAGUCAGUUGUGAAAGUUUGCGGCUCAACCGGAAAAUUGCAGUUGAAACUGGCAGUCGUGAGUACAGUAGAGGUGGGCGGAAUUCGUGGUGUAGCGGUGAAAUGCUUAGAUAUCACGAAGAACUCCGAUUGCGAAGGCAGCUCACUGGACUGCAACUGACACUGAUGCUCGAAAGUGUGGGUAUCAAACAGGAUUAGAUACCCGGGUAGUC